rnacentral:lncRNA from 1 species
CUUCGCUGCAGGCAGGAAAGAAAGAAGAAAGAUCUGGGGAUAUAAAUAGCUUGACAAGCUGCUGAAUUCUUGGAACUGGAUGAUUUCGGAAAAGCCGCGGUGGAUAACACAUUUCAUGCUGGAAGCGUGCGUGGAGGUGGUGUGAGGUUUUGCUGCCUACAAGUCUGCAGCGGAGCGUCUUCAGCAACUGAAACGGAAAACAGACUUCGCCUCUCCCGGCUCCUUCCCGAUGCGAACCAAUCCG